GCAACGGGUUUUGGUCCCGCUAUUCGGAGGUUCGAAUCCUUCCGUCCCA
rnacentral:tRNA from 2 species